GACGAACGCUGGCGGCGUGCUUAACACAUGCGAGUCGAACGGAAAGGCCCUUCGGGGUACUCGAGUGGCGAACGGGUGAGUAACACGUGGGUGAUCUGCCCUGCACUUUGGGAUAAGCCUGAGAAACUGGGUCUAAUACCGAAUAGGACCGCGCGCUUCAUGGUGUGUGGUGGAAAGCUUUUGCGGUGUGGGAUGGGCCCGCGGCCUAUCAGCUUGUUGGUGGGGUAAUGGCCUACCAAGGCGACGACGGGUAGCCGGCCUGAGAGGGUGACCGGCCACACUGGGACUGAGAUACGGCCCAGACUCCUACGGGAGGCAGCAGUGGGGAAUAUUGCACAAUGGGCGCAAGCCUGAUGCAGCGACGCCGCGUGAGGGAUGACGGCCUUCGGGUUGUAAACCUCUUUCACCAGGGACGAAGCGCAAGUGACGGUACCUGGAGAAGAAGCACCGGCCAACUACGUG
rnacentral:rRNA from 1 species